GACGAACGCUGGCGGCGUGCCUAAUACAUGCAAGUCGAACGCAGUGGGGACGGGUGAGUAACACGUGGGUAACCUCCCAUCAGAGGGGAUAACACUUGGAAACCGGUGCUAAACCGAUACUGAUGGAUGGACCCGCGGUGCAUUAGCUAGUUGGUGAGGUAACGUCUCACCAAGGCCACGAUGCAUAGCCAGCCUGAUAGUUGUGUCGGCCACACUGGGACUGAGACACUGCCAUGACUCCUACUGGAGGCAGCAGUAGGGAAUCUUCGGCAAUGGACGAAAGUCUGACCGAGCAACGCCGCGUGAGUGAAGAAGGUUUUCGGAUCGUAAAACUCUGUUGUUAGAGAAGCGGUAUCUAACCAGAAAGCCACGGCUAACUACGUGCCAGCAGCCGCGGUAAUUC
rnacentral:rRNA from 1 species